GACGAACGCUGGCGGCGUGCUUAACACAUGCAAGUCGAACGGUAAGGCCCUUCGGGGUACACGAGUGGCGAACGGGUGAGUAACACGUGGGUGAUCUGCCCUGCACUUCGGGAUAAGCUUGGGAAACUGGGUCUAAUACCGGAUAGGACCACGGUCUGCAUGGAUUGUGGUGGAAAGCUUUUGCGGUGUGGGAUGGGCCCGCGGCCUAUCAGCUUGUUGGUGGGGUGAUGGCCUACCAAGGCGACGACGGGUAGCCGGCCUGAGAGGGUGUCCGGCCACACUGGGACUGAGAUACGGCCCAGACUCCUACGGGAGGCAGCAGUGGGGAAUAUUGCACAAUGGGCGCAAGCCUGAUGCAGCGACGCCGCGU
rnacentral:rRNA from 1 species